GACGAACCGUGCGAACGUUGUUCGGAAUCACUGGGCUUAAAGGGCGCGUAGGCGGGCAUUCAAGUCAGGGGUGAAAUCCCUCAGCUUAACUGAGGAACUGCCUUUGAUACUGGGUGCCUCGAGUAAGGUAGGGGCAUGCGGAACUGAUGGUGGAGCGGUGAAAUGUGUUGAUAUCAUCAGGAACUCCGGUGGCGAAGGCGGCAUGCUGGACCUUCACUGACGCUGAGGCGCGAAGGCUAGGGGAGCGAACGGG
rnacentral:rRNA from 1 species